rnacentral:lncRNA from 1 species
GAAAGAGAGAGAGACAGAAAAAGGGUACAAAAUACAGUCAAAAUCAAAACUCUAGCAAGCUAUUUUGUGGAUAUCAGCAAAAAAUGAUAUAGAAGUUUAUAUGAGGAUGCAAAAGUCCCAGAAUAACUAAUGCAAUAUUGAAGGGGAAGAACAAAAAGAACAAAGUUGAAAGAUUGACACUACCUGACUUCAAUAUUUAUAUAAAUCUACAACAAUCAGCACAGUGUGAUAUUGGCAAAAUAAUAGAUGAUAUACAAAUGUAACGAUAGAAUGGAAUAGAAAUCUCAAAAAUAGAUCCACAUAGACUCAACUAAUUUUUAACAAAGGAGCAAAAGCAAUACAAUGGAACGAACAGUCUUAUCAAUAAUAUUGAAACAAUUAGAUAUCUACAUGCAAAAAAAAAAAUAGAAAAAAAAGGAACGUAGAAACAGAUCUCAUACUCUUCACAAAUUUUAACCUUCUAUAAAAAUGUGCAAAAAUCCCAAAGAGGAUAUACACAUGGCAAAUAACCAUGUGAAAAAUGUUCAACAUUAUAUAUCACUUGAAAUUUGCAAAUCAGAACAAGAUGCUACUACAUACCUAUUAAAAUGGCCAAAAUCUAAAACACUGGCAACACCAAAUGUUGGUGAGAAUAUGGAGCAGCAGCAACUCUCAUUCAUUGUUUGUGGGAAUGUAAAAUGCCAUUGAGGAUGACAAUUUGGCAGUUACUUAUAAAAUAUGCAUAUUCUUAACAUAUGAUCCACCAACUGUGUGCCUUAGUAUAUUUACCCAAUUGAAUUAAAAACUUAUGUCUACACAAACUUGCACAUGGAUGUUUAUAGCAGUUCACUUAUAAUAGCCAAAACUUGGAAGCAACUCAGAUGUCCCACUGUGGAUUAGUGAAUAAGUAAACUGUGAUUCCUGUAAACAAUGAAAUAUUAUUACAUGCCCAAAAGCCAUGAGGCAUCAAACCUUGAAAAGACAUGGGGGAAACUUAAGUGCAUAUUACUAACCAAAUAAGCCGAUCUAAAAUGGCUGUGUACUUUAUCAUUCCAUUCUGGAGAGUGAAAAACUAUGAAUACAGUAAACAUCAAUAGUUUCCAGGGUUUAGGGAGAAGGAAGCAAUAAAUAUGUAGAGCACAGAGGAUUUUUAGGGCCAUGAAACUCUUUUGUAUCUCAUGACAAUGGUGGGUACAUGCCAUUUUACGUGUGUCUAAAUCCAUAGACUAUACAAUUCCAAGAAUAUGUUCUCAUAUAAACUCUGGACUUUGGGUGAUACCAAUAUGUCAAUGUGUAUUCAUCCCUUGUAGCCAAUGUACCAUUCUGGUGGAGGUGUCAAUAAUGAAGGAAGCUAUGCAUGUGUGGCACAGAGAGUUAGAUGGGAACUCUAUACUUUCUGUACAAUUUUUC